rnacentral:rRNA from 1 species
AUACGGGGGGUGCAAGCGUUGUUCGGAUUCACUGGGUAUAAAGGGUGCGCAGGCGGCUUGGUAAGUCACAGGUGAAAUUCGUCGGCUCAACCGACGGACUGCCCGUGAAACUGCCUCGCUUGAGUCCGGGAGAGGAAGGUGGAAUUCCAGGUGUAGCGGUGAAAUGCGUAAAUAUCUGGAGGAACACCGGUGGCGAAGGCGGCCUUCUGGCCCGGAACUGACGCUCAGGCACGAAAGCUAGGGGAGC